UAGUAGGAGCUGGCAUCUUUGAGCAACCAGAAAUUCGAGUCCCUCCGGAUGGCGCAGGAACUUGACAGCGGAGGGGCCGCGGCUGGCAGGGUGGAUUUGAGAGUGACAGGGCAUGAGACAAAGGAGAGGGAACCUUAGGAAAGGGAUUGCAAAUGAAUCAGCCAAUAUCACAAUACCAGUUCUACAAACCUAUGAUGCGACUGCAUUUGGAGUUCUAUGUCCAGUUCUGACCAUGUCACCUCCAAAAGAAUAUUGUAAAGGUGGAAAAGGGCAACCAAAACCAUCAAGGGGAUGGAAUGGCUCCACUAUAAGGAAAGGUUGCAGUGCUUGGGACUUCUUAGUUUAGAAAAGAGGUGAGUAAAAGGCAACAUGAUAGAAGCUUAUGCAAUGAUACACGGCAUGGAGAAAAUGGAUAGGAGAAAGUUUUUCUACUUCUCUCUGGAACUGGUGGGCAUCUAAUGAAGUUGAAUGUUGAAAGACUCAAGACAAAUAAUAGGAAGUUCUUCUUCAUGCAGCACUGAAGAACUUGCUCCUGCAUGUGAUGCUGCAUAUUUCCAAUCCCUUCUCUGUCUGGGGGGUCUGAGUUCACACAGUUCAUGGGAGAUAACUGGCCCUAGCCUUGUUCAGUAGCAGAUCAUCUGCUUUGCAUGCUGAAGAAACCUAGGUCCCACUGAGACUUUUCACUCCUAUAAUGAAGAUACUGCCAAUCCCCCAACUUUGUAAUCAUGUAUGCCUGUUUUAAAUCUGUCUUCAAAUUUUA